rnacentral:misc_RNA from 1 species
GGGCGCUCUUGGCUUGUUUGCCAUGAGUGACUUACUUGAGCAGUUUGCUUGUGGCAGACAAACAAAAGCCCCGUUAUCCGGUUACUGUUAGCGCAGUAACUUUCAUUUAACGAGGCCUUAGUCAUGUAUGCAAACUUGAUUAUACAGCCUCUUUUACUGUGGAGGCAACAAAAAUGCCGAAAAA